GCGUGCGCGUGAUCAUUCGAGUCGCAUUUGAACUGGAGCGGAGAAAGUUACCAUGGAAACGGCGCAGCACCUCUCAACUGACAAGCAGCGAACACCGUCUCUCACUGUUGUUUUCACCACUUUCAGAUUUUUCCAUGCUGAUGGCAGUGCAGUUGGACAUCUUUAGACAUUGUGAACCAUGUGACUGGAUUUUUUGGGCAGAGCUAAAACGGGGGGCUCGAUGAUGCACUGGAGCCCCUGAGCAUCUGUCAGCGCCUACAUCUGUCGACAACAGUCUGCAGUAUGUGCCCACCAAUGAGUGAAGCCUGCUGAAGAAGACAGAGGACUGAGACAACACAUGCACUUGAACACAAAUACACACCCUAUACAUCUGAGGUUUUUUUUUUUCUUCAUGUGUAAUUUUAAUAUUUGCUUUUGUAUGUUUUAAACACUCAAUUUUCAAUGCAUAUUUUGAAAUGAAAUAAAAGCUCAAUUUGAAUUA